UACGGGGGGGGCAAGCGUUGUUCGGAAUUACUGGGCGUAAAGGGCGCGCAGGCGGCGCAUUUUGUCAGGCGUGAAAGCCCCGGGCUUAACCUGGGAACUGCGUUUGAUACGGAUGGGCUAGAGUUCGGGAGAGGAGAGUGGAAUUCCCAGUGUAGCGGUGAAAUGCGUAGAUAUUGGGAGGAACACCAGUGGCGAAGGCGGCUACCUGGACCGGUUCUGACGCUGAUGCGCGAAAGCGUGGGUAGCAAACAGG
rnacentral:rRNA from 1 species